rnacentral:sRNA from 1 species
UCUUGUGUUCUACGAUGGCUACCGCCACA